rnacentral:rRNA from 1 species
GUUAGGGUACCUUGACGGUACCUAACCAGAAAGCCAGGGCUAACUACGUGCCAGCAGCCGCGGUAAUACGUAGGUGGCCAUGGCGUUGUCCGGGACUCUAAUUGGGCGUUAAAGGCCGGCCGGCGGUUUUUUAGUUUUGAUUUUGAAUGCCCCUGCUCACCGGGACGUUCAUUGGAAACUUGGGGAACCUUGAGUGCAGAAGAGGAGAGCUGGACUUUCCACGUGUAGCGGUGAAUUGCGUAGAGAUGUGGAGGAGCACCAGUGGCGAAGGCGACUCUCUGGUCUGUAACUGACGCUGAGGCGCGAAAGCGUGGGGAGCGAACAGGAUUAGAUACCCUGGUAGUCCACGCCGUAAACGAUGAGUGCUAAGUGUUAGAGGGUUUCCGCCCUUUAGUGCUGCAGCAAACGCAUUAAGCACUCCGCCUGGGGAGUACGGUCGCAAGACUGAAACUCAAAGGAAUUGACGGGGGCCCGCACAAGCGGUGGAGCAUGUGGCAUAAUUCGAAGCAACGCGAAGAACCUUACCAGGUCUUGACAUCCUCUGACAACCCUAGAGAUAGGGCUUCCCCUUCGGGGGCAGAGUGACAGGUGGUGCAUGGUUGUCGUCAGCUCGUGUCGUGAGAUGUUGGGUUAAGUCCCGCAACGAGCGCAACCCUUGAUCUUAGUUGCCAGCAUUAGACUCAAUCUAAGGUGACUGCCGGUGACAAACCGGAGGAAGGUGGGGAUGACGUCAAAUCAUCAUGCCCCUUAUGACCUGGGCUACACACGUGCUACAAUGGGCAGAACAAAGGGCAGCGAAGCCGCGAGGCUAAGCCAAUCCCACAAAUCUGUUCUCAGUUCGGAUCGCAGUCUGCAACUCGACUGCGUGAAGCUGGAAUCGCUAGUAAUCGCGGAUCUAGCUAUGGCGCGGUGAAUACGUUCCCGGGCCUUUGUACUA